GGCGAGCCACGGCUUAGUGGGUUC
rnacentral:miRNA from 1 species